rnacentral:rRNA from 1 species
CCUACGGGAGGCUGCAGUGAGGAAUAUUGGUCAAUGGACGCAAGUCUGAACCAGCCAUGCCGCGUGCAGGAAGACGGCUCUAUGAGUUGUAAACUGCUUUUGUACGAGGGUAAACGCAGAUACGCGUAUCUGUCUGAAAGUAUCGUACGAAUAAGGAUCGGCUAACUCCGUGCCAGCAGCCGCGGUAAUACGGAGGAUUCAAGCGUUAUCCGGAUUUAUUGGGGUUAAAGGGUGCGUAGGCGGUUGGAUAAGUUAGAGGUGAAAUCUCGAGGCUCAACUUCAGAAUUGCCACUGAUACUGUGCGGCUAGAGUGUAGUUGCGGUAGGCGGAAUUUAUGGUGUAGCGGUGAAAUGCUUAGAGAUCACACAGAACACCGAUUGCGAAGGCAGCUUACCAAGCUGCCACUGACGUUGAGGCACGAAAGCGUGGGGAGCAAACAGGAUUAGAUACCCUAGUAGUC